rnacentral:lncRNA from 1 species
UCAGGACUCUGUAAAAGGCAGCAGCUCCCAGCUUUCACUCCAUUUCUACUGGCACAUGCAACCUCUAAUUUAGGGAAAAAAAGGCUACAGUGUGGCACACCCUCACUGAAAAAGUGCCAACACCCGCUUUACAAUAGCCCUUUUAAAAUCCAGGAUCUCUUCCAGCCAGUUUCAUCUAACUUCCAUUUCGUUUUAUUUCUACAGUCUACAGCUUUUUUGCUCACGUACCUUUUAAGUCAUUAUUUCCCGAAGUGAAAGAUAAUGUACCAUUAUUAACCUAUAUCUUAAGAAAACACAAUACAAUAGUAGAUCGAUAUCCCAGUCUACUAUUAAAUGGCUGCACAGCCAGCCACAAAUCUUCCUGUCCUUAUCACUCAAAUAGUGAAAUACCCAAGGUUCUUUCCCACAAAAAGCUCUUGAACAUUCAGGAUCUUUUCCACUUAACGGCUUUAUUCCUUCUUGAAGUCAGUUGCACAUAUUGCAAUGAUACAUUUCCUCUAUUACUUCUCCAUCUGCAAUUUAUGCAUUUGUAUGAAUUUAACUCUAGUGAACAAUAAAUUCAGAGAGAGAAGAAAGAGUGAGCAGUCAUCAUACUAACUUCUUCAAACCCAUUUGCCUUAGUUUUGGUAUAAAAGCAAUCAAACACCUAGUGCUCCGUGGGGAACCAGCCUCUAUUCCUGCUGACAUACCAGAAAGUCUCUGACGACGAGGCCAAUGAGAAUAAAUUUGUCAUCUUGCUUUUAGAAAAAGGAUCCUGAACGUUUUUCUGCUCCACCCACGUCACAUGGGCCAGAACUGCCAUCCCAUGGUAGCAGCCUUGAUCCCAUGCUCUCCUGAGUCAGGCUUGAAGUGGCCACUAAGGGCUGAGAUGCCCUACCCAGAUGGCAUCAUGAAACAUGAAAACACAAACUGGUGGGAGAUGCAUUUGAGUCACAAACCUCCUUUUGUUUACAGCUUACUUGGAGGACGGGGCUUCUUUGGAGAGAAAAGCUGCAAGAAAUCUCAAGCCCCGAUCCCCCCAGCCUGAUGGGAAACUUCUAAUUCACCCAGUUCAACAUGCUGAAUUAUUAUUCGGCUACUAGACUCAGAACUAAGGCUGCUGCAGGUACGGUGAUCGCUGCUGCAGAGAAAAGGGAAGGACUGCAACCUUACAUUGCACUGCAGCCACUUGUCUAACCUACACUAUAAUCAAACUCCUUGUUCUCCAUUCCUGCCCCCAGAUUAAGAGAGAC